CCUUAACUAUGGAUUUAAACACUGUAGUUAUGUGUGUGUUUUUUUUCUUCUUUCCAUUGUUUUUUCUGUUCCCCAAGGAUUUUGCUCAGUGCAAGAAUAAUAAGGGAAGAUUCUCGUGUAGAUGUUCUGCUCUCUAAAAGGAAAAGGGUUAACCAGAAGUAAAGGCGACAAAUCAAGUCUCUUCCUGUGGCUGUUACUGAUUAGGG